UCUGGUGCCAGCAGCCGCGGUAAUUCCAGCUCCAAUAGCGUAUAUUAAAGUUGUUGCAGUUAAAAAGCUCGUAGUUGAAUUUCGGAAUUUGUCGGUUGGUCGGGCUUCACUGUCCGCACUGACCUGAUGGAUUCCUACCUUCUGAAUAACCAGCAUGCUAUUAAGUUAGUGCGUUGGGGAAGCAGAGCUAUUACCUUGAAAAAAUUAGAGUGUUUAAAGCA
rnacentral:rRNA from 1 species